rnacentral:rRNA from 1 species
CGGUAUCCUGACCGUGCUAAGGUAGCAUAAUCAUUUGCCGUUUAAUUGAUGGCUGGAAUGAAUGAAUAUACGAGAGCUCAACUGUCUCAUUUUUACAAAUAUAAAUUGACCCUCAAGUGAAGAGACUUGAAUUCUUAAAAAAGACGAAAAGACCCUAUAGAGCUUUACCUGAAAUUUAUAUCUUAUAUAAUAAAGGUUUAGUUGGGGCAACUAGAGAGCACCUAAAACCUCUCUUUAAGUUUACUAAUAAUGAUCCGUUUUUACGAUAAGUAGAAAAAGCUACCUUAGGGAUAACAGGCUAAUCCUCUUUAAGAGACCAUAUUGACAAGAGGGAUUGGCACCUCGAUGUUGGCU